rnacentral:rRNA from 1 species
AUUGAACGCUGGCGGCAGGCCUAACACAUGCAAGUCGAGCGGAUGAAGUGAGCUUGCUCCUGGAUUCAGCGGCGGACGGGCGAGUAAUGCCUAGGAAUCUGCCUGGUAGUGGGGGAUAACGUCCGGACACGUGCGCUAAUACCGCAUACGUCCUGAGGGAGAAAGUGGGGGAUCUUCGGACCUCACGCUAUCAGAUGAGCCUAGGUCGGAUUAGCUAGUUGGUGGGGUAAAGGCCUACCAAGGCGACGAUCCGUAACUGGUCUGAGAGGAUGAUCAGUCACACUGGAACUGAGACACGGUCCAGACUCCUACGGGAGGCAGCAGUGGGGAAUAUUGGACAAUGGGCGAAAGCCUGAUCCAGCCAUGCCGCGUGUGUGAAGAAGGUAUUCGGAUUGUAAAGCACUUUAAGUUGGGAGGAAGGGCAGUAAGUUAAUACCUUGCUGUUUUGACGUUACCAACAGAAUAAGCACCGGCUAACUUCGUG